rnacentral:rRNA from 1 species
GACGGAGGAUGCAAGCGUUAUCCGGAAUUAUUGGGCGUAAAGCGUCCGCAGGUGGCCUAUCAAGUCUGCUGUCAAAGACCGGGGCUUAACCCCAGAAAGGCAGUGGAAACUGGAAGGCUAGAGGAUGGUAGGGGCAGAGGGAAUUCCCAGUGUAGCGGUGAAAUGCGUAGAGAUUGGGAAGAACACCGGUGGCGAAAGCGCUCUGCUGGGCCAUAACUGACACUCAGGGACGAAAGCUAGGGGAGCGAAUGGG